rnacentral:rRNA from 1 species
GACGAACGCUGGCGGCGUGCUUAACACAUGCAAGUCGAACGGAAAGGUCCCUUUUUUGUGGGGUGCUCCAGUGGCGAAUGGGUGUGUAACACGUGCGUAACCUGCCCUUGACUUUGGGAUAACUUCAGGAAACUGGGGACAAUUCCGGACAGGUGCUCCUGCCGCAUGGUGGGGGUUGGUAAGUUUAGGCGGUUGGGGAUGGUCCCGCGGCCUAUGAGGUUGUUGGUGGGGUUGUGGUUUUCCAAGGCUUUGCGGGGUACCCGGUCUGAGAGGGUGACCGGCCACAUUGGGACUGAGAUGCGGCACAGACUCCUACGGGAGGCAGCAGUGGGGAAUAGUGCACAAUAGGCGGAAGCCUGAUGCAGCAACGCCGCGUGCGGGAUGACGGCCUUCGGGUUGGAAACCGCUUUCGCCUGUGACGAAGCGUGAGUGACGGUAAUGGGUAAAGAAGCACCGGCUAACUACGUG